rnacentral:rRNA from 1 species
GUAGUCUCGCACAGAUGCAUAUCAAUAAGCGGAGGAAAAGAAACUAACAAGGAUUCCCCUAGUAACGGCGAGCGAAGCGGGAAGAGCUCAAAUUUGAAAUCUUAAAGGGUUUCCCUUUACGAAUUGUAGUUUAAAGAAGUGUUUUCUGUUGAGGUUUUGGUAAAAGUUCUUUGGAAUAGGACAUCAUAGAGGGUGAGAAUCCCGUAUUUGACCUUUACUUUCAACUUUGUGAUACACGUUCAAAGAGUCGGAUUGUUUGGGAAUGCAGUCCAAAAUGGGUGGUAAAUUUCAUCUAAAGCUAAAUAUUGGCGAGAGACCGAUAGCGAACAAGUACCGUGAGGGAAAGAUGAAAAGAACUUUGAAAAGAGAGUUAAACAGUACGUGGAAAUUGUCAAAAGGGAAGCGUUUGACAGCCAGUGUUGUUUUUCUGAAAAUCAAUUAAAGAACUGUUUAUGCUAAGCUGUUUAGACUUUAUCAGCUAUCUGUUUAGUUUUGAGCUUUUCUUUAAUGCACUUUUCAGUUAACAAGUCAACAUCAAUUUCUUUUGCUGUAAAAAAGCUUGAGGAAGGUGGCUUGAGAUUCGUCUUAAGUGUUUAUAGCCUCUUGCCUAUGCAGUCGGAGAGAUUGAGGUCUGCAGCGUAGAUCCUUCGGGGCUAAAUGCAUUUGUGCUAAGUUAUAACAUUUUAUAGACAACUUGUUGACUAUGAUUUGUCUUGUAGCUUACUCGCUUAUGUUAUUUUACCUACGCUUAGGAUGUUGACGCAUGAGAUAUACGC